AUGCUAGCACGCUAUGAUGAAGCCGGCGGAAUGCAGUGCGUUGAUAUUUUCCAAUGUUGCUAUCACUUGUCCAGGUCAGCUGUAAAAUGGGACCUGGGUUCAAAUCGAACAAUGAAAACACGAGACUGCAACUCAGCACAGAGCACUGACUCACAUUGCAGAUGCCUCGUGUGAAGACAGGAUUGGUGAUCCUGAAACAUGGAGAGCAUCUGUCCAGAUAUGUAUUCAUGGAGAAGUGCAGUAAUGCAGGCUCAGUCGUGCAGCCGGUCAACACACACAGGCCCAAUGAAACAAGGUUGCUACAACUGACUUCCAGGCUGUGAAGAAAGGCCUGACGGUGGGCAACCAGUGUCUGCUUCUGAAGCAGGAGCAUGAGAAAAACAUACUGACAGCUUCUUUGCUCAUGCUCCACAAGGGAAAGCAGCGUCUUGUGCUAAAACCUGACGCCAUCUACCCUCAGAUACUUGUGCGAAAGACGUUGUGGAUAUGAAUUUGCCGUCACUCUUCUGUUACAAUAAAUGUAUAUCCGUGA